rnacentral:tRNA from 1 species
GGCUUUGUAGUGUAAUUAACAUUUUGGAUUGCAAAUCCUUAGAUGCAACUAACAUGUUGCCAAAGCUUC